rnacentral:rRNA from 1 species
GUGCACCAGUCGAGAAAACUUCACACUGUGCGAAAGCACGAUGAGGGAAUCCCAAGUGCUUGCACGUAAGUGUAAGCUGUUUCUCUGUUUAAAACGCAGAGAGAGUAAGGGCUGGGUAAGACGGGUGCCAGCCGCCGCGGUAAUACCUGCAGCUCAAGUGGUGACCGUUAUUAUUGGGCCUAAAACGUCCGUAGCCGGUUUAAUAAAUGCCUGGGUAAAUCGUGUAGCUUAACUAUACGAAUUCCGGGUAGACUGUUAAACUCGAGACCGGGAGAAGCUAGAGGUACUCCUGGGGUAGAGGUGAAAUUCUGUAAUCCUAGGGGGACCACCAGUGGUGAAGGCGUCUAACUAGAACGGGUCUGACGGUGAGGGACGAAGCCCUGGGGCGCAAACGGGAUUAGAUACCCCUGUAGU